AGAGCGAACGCUGGCGGCAUGCCUAAUACAUGCAAGUCGAACGAAUGCCCUUCGGGGUGUUAGUGGCGCACGGGUGCGUAACGCGUGGGAAUCUGCCCUUUGCUUCGGAAUAACAGUUAGAAAUGACUGCUAAUACCGGAUGGUGUCGCAAGACCAAAGAUUUAUCGGCAAGGGAUGAGCCCGCGUAGGAUUAGCUAGUUGGUAGGGUAAAGCCUACCAAGGCGACGAUCCUAGCUGGUCUGAGAGGAUGAUCAGCCACACUGGGACUGAGACACGGCCCAACUCCUAACGGGAGGCAGCAGUGGGGAAUCGUUGCGC
rnacentral:rRNA from 1 species